CACGUAGUUAGCCGGUGCUUAUUCUUCAGGUACCGUCAUUAGGACUGGAUAUUAGCCAAUCCCGUUUCUUCCCUGACAAAAGAGCUUUACAACCCGAAGGCCUUCUUCACUCACGCGGAAUUGCUGGAUCAGGCUUGCGCCCAUUGUCCAAAAUUCCCCACUGCUGCCUCCCGUAGGAGUCUGGACCGUGUCUCAGUUCCAGUGUGGCUGGUCGUCCUCUCAGACCAGCUACUGAUCGUCGCCUUGGUGAGCCUUUACCUCACCAACUAGCUAAUCAGAUAUCGGCCGCUCCAGGAGCACAAGGUCCGAAGAUCCCUGCUUUCAUCCGUAGAUCGUAUGCGGUAUUAGCGUAACUUUCGCUACGUUAUCCCCCAUCUUGGGUACGUUCCGAUAUAUUCUCACCCGUUCGCCACUCGUCAGCGGAGCAAGCUCCCUGUUACCCGUUCGACUUGCUAGUCGUAGUAAAGCUAGUCGCCCGCCAGUCGUUUACAAC
rnacentral:rRNA from 1 species